CGGGCGUAUUCGAAGUUUCUAUCAGAAGUGCUAUAUUUUUGGUUAUUUUAUUCUUUAAAGAAAAUGAAUCAAAUUGGUCGAAAACAAAUGGGGGGUCACGGACCACUUAAGCUCAAUAUUUUACUUUUAAACAGGUAUGUAAAAGGGACCAUUUUUCAAUGAAAUGAUAGGGGAAAUAGAGGUGUUGAUAUUUUUUUUUUCGGAAUAUAAAAAAAAACGUUCUAUGACAAUUGUUCCAAAUCUGUAAUAUGAAAAGCUGGAAUACAGCUUCAAAGAAUGAGCCAAUAAAAAACAU
rnacentral:lncRNA from 1 species